rnacentral:rRNA from 1 species
GACGAACGCUGGCGGCGUGCUUAACACAUGCAAGUCGAACGGAAAGGCCCUGCUUUUGUGGGGUGCUCGAGUGGCGAACGGGUGAGUAACACGUGAGUAACCUGCCCUUGACUUUGGGAUAACUUCAGGAAACUGGGGCUAAUACCGGAUAGGAGCUCCUGCUGCAUGGUGGGGGUUGGAAAGUUUCGGCGGUUGGGGAUGGACUCGCGGCUUAUCAGCUUGUUGGUGGGGUAGUGGCUUACCAAGGCUUUGACGGGUAGCCGGCCUGAGAGGGUGACCGGCCACAUUGGGACUGAGAUGCGGCCCAGACUCCUACGGGAGGCAACAGUGGGGAAUAGUGCACAAUGGGCGGAAGCCUGAUGCAGCAACGCCGCGUGCGGGAUGACGGCCUUCGGGUGGUAAACCGCUUUCGCCUGUGACGAAGCGUGAGUGACGGUAAUGGGUAAAGAAGCACCGGCUAACUACGU